rnacentral:rRNA from 1 species
GGGCCCGCACAAGCGGCGGAGCAUGUUGCUUAAUUCGACGCAACGCGAAGAACCUUACCAAGGUUUGACAUGCAGGGAAAAGCUGUAGAGAUACGGUGUCCGUAAGGGUCCUGCACAGGUGGUGCAUGGCUGUCGUCAGCUCGUGUCGUGAGAUGUUGGGUUAAGUCCCGCAACGAGCGCAACCCUCGUCCUAUGUUGCCAGCGGGUAAUGCCGGGGACUCAUAGGAGACUGCCGGGGUCAACUCGGAGGAAGGUGGGGAUGACGUCAAGUCCUCAUGCCCCUUAUGUCUUGGGCUGCAAACAUGCUACAAUGGCCAGUACAAAGGGUUGCGAGACCGCAAGGUGGAGCGAAUCCCAAAAAGCUGGUCUCAGUUCGGAUUGGGGUCUGCAACUCGACCCCAUGAAGUCGGAGUCGCUAGUAAUCGCAGAUCAGCAACGCUGCGGUGAAUACGUUCCCGGGCCUU